GGACUACAAGGGUUUCUAAUCCUGUUCGCUCCCCUAGCUUUCGCACCUGAGCGUCAGAAACUUGCCAGGAGACUGCCUUCGCUUUCGGUGUUCCUCCGGAUCUCUACGCAUUUCACCGCUCCACCCGGAAUUCCGUCUCCCCCUCAAGUCCUCAAGUCCACCAGUUUUCGAAGUCCUUUCCCAGUUAAGCCGGAAACUGUCACUCCAAACUUGGCAGACCGCCUGCGCGCGCUUUACGCCCAAUAAAUCCGGACAACACUUGCCCCCUACGUAUUACCGCGGCGGCUGGCAC
rnacentral:rRNA from 1 species